UACCAGCACCCCGAGUGGUCGGGACGAUUAUUGGGCCUAAAGCAUCCGUAGCCGGUCCUACAAGUCUUCCGUUAAAUCCACCUGCUCAACAGAUGGGCUGCGGAAGAUACUAUAGGGCUAGGAGGCGGGAGAGGCAAGCGGUACUCAGUGGGUAGGGGUAAAAUCCUUUGAUCCAUUGAAGACCACCAGUGGCGAAGGCGGCUUGCCAGAACGCGCUCGACGGUGAGGGAUGAAAGCUGGGGGAGCAAACCGG
rnacentral:rRNA from 1 species